rnacentral:lncRNA from 1 species
AGGGGCUGGCGUCAGCCGCCCCUGUGAGGUGGCCGUAGCGUGGACGAGUAAGAAGGGUUGAGUAAAGUGGACAAACACCUGGUUAGGAGAAGAGGGCAGGCCCGCAGCCGCCCUCCGGAGGAGGACUCGGGGCCUCGCGGGCGCCGGAGGAGGUUCCUGGGCCUCGGAGGGCCGCCCCGGCGCGCCGCCCCGGCGCGAGCGGGCGCGGGCGGGGGAGGGGAAGUGAGAGGUUGUUUAUGACCGGGGACUAAUCUCCUCCGCGAGUCCCAGCGCUCCCUCUGGGGAGUGCGGUUGAGGGGCUGUCCUCGCACGGAGCCUCGCUCGGCCUCGGGGGAGCCACGAGAGGUGGGAGUUGGACCCGCAGCGGGCCAGGAGCCCUGUCAUUGGAGGACCCGCCAAAAAGGAAGCAAACCCUCUUUUUCUUUAUCCAACCCCAAAUAGCUAGGGCCUAGGGGGAAGACUCACAUAUCGAUAAAUGGUUUGUUGCCCGUUUUAUUCUCUGGGAAAUACAACUGAUCUUACCAAAGAAAUAACCUGUCUCUUGCCGUGUUUACUUAGAGCCAUAGAAUACCUGUUUCAGAGCUGAAGGGGACCUGAGCCCAUGAUAAUCCAUUACCUCGUGAGAAAGCGGAAAAACUGACUUCAGCUUGCCCAGAUGGCGCAGAGAAUGGGUUUCCCGUAACCCCGCCUGUGUCUUUCCUUCAGCCUCGUCCCAAAUGCCGUGGGAGGGAAGGCACUCUCUGUCAAGCUGCUGUCACCUUACCUGAAGUAAGGAGUCCACGCCUGCAUGUCCGAGGAAAACAGUUUUCUCAAACACAUUAGUUGAAAAACUGAAGACGCUGCCUAAAAUACAAGCUGAGUUAGAGACAGCCCUUGUAAGACUAGGAACAGACUUAAGUAUGCCCUGGAA